UACGAAGGGGGCUAGCGUUGCUCGGAAUCACUGGGCGUAAAGCGCACGUAGGCGGCUUGUUAAUUCAGGGGUGAAAUCCUGGAGCUCAACUCCAGAACUGCCUUUGAUACUGGCGAGCUUGAGUUCGGGAGAGGUGAGUGGAACUGCGAGUGUAGAGGUGAAAUUCGUAGAUAUUCGCAAGAACACCGGUGGCGAAGGCGGCCCACUGGUCCGGUACUGACGCUGAGGUGCGAAAGCGUGGGGAGCAAACAGG
rnacentral:rRNA from 1 species